rnacentral:lncRNA from 1 species
GCCAUUUUCAUCAAAAAUUACAUCUCUAGAGAGCAAAACCUUCUGAGUUGCAGGAUUCAAUAUCCUGUAUCCCUUCUCACAUGCACCAUAUCCAAUAAAAACUCCUAUGGCACUAGUUGCUUCCAAUUUGUGCCUUAAAUUUCCUGGAAUAAGAGGAUAACACACUGAGCCAAACACUUUUAGGUGUUUAAUUCUAGGUUUUCUUCCACUGAAUUUCUCAAACUGUGUAAUGUUCUCCAAGGCUUUAGAUAUACUGAUGUGUUCACUGCUUCACACCAAAGACUAUAUGGAAGCUCCUGCUCAUGAAUCAUGCAUUUUGCCAUUUCCACAACAGUCCUAUUUUUUCUUUCUGCCACACCAUUCUGUUUUGGAGAGUAUGCAAUAGUGAGCUGCCUUUCGAUCCCCAAAUCUUCACAAAACUUUGCAAAAUUUGUUGAAAUAUACUAUCCUCCCCUAUAUGUUCUUAGCUUCUUUACAUGGUAUCCACAUUGAAGCUCCAGCAUUGCUUUGACUUUUUGAACACACGGAAUGUCUCAGACUUGUUUCUUAAGAAACAAACCUAGCACAUUCUUGAAAAAUCAUCUAUAAAUGUGAUGAAGUAUCUGUUUCCACUCAGACUUGGUGUUUUCAUAGGACCACACAAUUCUGAAUGAAUCAGUUCUUGUGGCUCCUUUGCUCUCCAUUUUGAUUUUUUAGGAAAUGCCUCCUUAUGACUUUUUCCAAAUACACAUCCUUGACACACUGCAUCAUUGUUUUGGAUUUCAGGCAGUCCCAACACCAUCUCUUGACUCUGCAGCAGCUUGAGACUUCUGAAAUUCAAAUGCCCAAACCUUUUGUGCCAUAUACUGGAACAUUCUUGCACAUUUGCUUUCAAUGCAAGCUCUUUGUUAUUUCUGAAGAUUAAAGGAAAACAUAUGUUGCCCUUCUGUUUCACAAUGACCACUAAGUUUCUUAAAUGUCUAUCAUCAAAGAUAUCCGCCUUAUAGUCUCCAAAUAGAAGGAAAUAACCAUGCUCAGUCAUCUGCCCUACACUGAGCAAAUUCUCUGCUAGACCAGGUACCAGCAUGACUUCCUUUAUAUGUUUUCUUCCAUUCAUUGUGUCAAUAACCAGCGUUCCUUUUCUAGUCACUUCAACUAAAACUCCAUUGCCUACUUGAACCUUUGCUUUCACUCUUCUGUCAAUGUCUACAAACAAGUCUUCCCUGGAUGUCAUAUGGUUACUACAUCCACUAUCAAUGUACCAUUCAUCACUUAUCCUCUUUAAUUCUCCAGAAUGAUUAGCAAAAAAUAAGUUUCCAGUUCCUUCAAUCUGAUUUGCAAAGUUCACCUGCUGCACAGCCUUGUUUGUAUGACAAUAUUUUGCAAUAUGCCCAAUUUUGUUACACUUGUGACACUUGACCUUAUUCUUAAACCAACACUCUCCAUAGUACAAUUUAUCACAGAAUUUGCAUUUAUUCCCAGUAUUGUCUGUCUCAUUUUUCACAGAGGAAUUAGUCUUAUUACCUCCAUCACCCUUGUUGCCCCAUUGUUGCCCGUGUGGUUUGGCAUUCUUCUGAGACUUACUGGUGUGACCAUUAGACCGAGAUGCCUUUGAUCCAAUGUUGAAGCUAGCAAAUGCUUUCUCUGCACUUUUGUCACUGUGCCUAUCAAGCCUAUGCUCAUAUCCUUUUAAAAUUGCAACUACA